GGUGUUUUCUCUUCAACUGUGUGGUCCCAGGGAUUGGACUCAGAUUGUCUGGAAUUGCAGUAAGUGCUUUUAUCCACCAGGCCAUCUUGCCAUCCCAAUAUUAUUAUUCUUUAUAGAGGAAUACUAAGAUUUUGUUGCGCAUAUGUACAUAUUUUGUUUCUAUUUGUGUGGAUGAUUGGUGUCUGAGCUUCUAUCCCUCAGCUUUUGUGAGUGUGCAGAUUGUGUCUCUGGUGUGUGGGGAGUCUCCUGCAUAUACCCAGGAGGGAUAUGACUGGCUCAUACUGUAGUGCUGUUUAGUUUUCUGAGGAGCCCCAUACUGUAAGAAGUAAUGAAAUAUGAUUUUUUCUAUCAAAUACUAUGAAUGUUGUGUUUAGGAAUUCAAAUCUUUUUAUUUCUCACACUUGGUCAGACUUUUGUGCAAAAGUCCUAAUCUUCCCCCACCCAGGAAAACCUUUGUUUAUACAGGGACCUACUACUAUAUUCUAGGAAUCUGAUGGCUUGGAGCAGUGACCCCUUCCUCCUAUAUUUCUGUGUGCCAAUUCUUUCCAGAGUAGCCAGUUGAAUUAAGACGGUGAACUUGGACUCCUGCCUAUGGGGAAAAGACAGUUACUACCUGGGUUAGAAUUACAAAACCUGACUCAGAGUGUUUGCCCUUCUGAGCACACCCUCUUGAUCAAGAGUAAGAGUUAACUUGCUCAGACAUUUUAGUAGAAAUGUUGACACCUUUCUUUGUAACUCUGAACUUAUUCUAACAAUUUGUGGGGUUCUUUCUUUUCUUUUUUUUUUUUUGGAUCCUUGCUUGUCAGAGGAUGACCUUCAGAUCCCCCAACCUGGGGAAAUGUGUUUCAUCUACUUAUUUUGGUUGUUCUUGAGUGCUAGGCCUGUCACUCAUCAGCAAAAGAACCUAAGGAUUAGAAGUCUGGACAAAGCCAGAAGAACUGGCCCAAGGAAAUUACCAUGGCAAGUAGGAUUUCUCUGUGCACAGACCAGAGACAGGCUUUCUCUGUGUAGCUUUGGAUGUCCUAGAGUUCACUCUGUAGACCAGAGUGCACCACCACUGCCUGGUAUAAAUGAUUUACAUCUCUUCUGCAUUGUUGGCUUGGUGGUCAUGGAUUGCUUGUCUUGAAAUAUGUAUGUCUUCAACCUUAAGCGAUUAUGACUGGAUAUAGAAAUCUUGAUUGGCAAGGACUUUCAAGCUUUGAAACAUUAGCCCAUACUCCCUUGGUUUUUAGGAUUUCUGUUGAGCCCUCACUCACUGCUGGCCUGAAGUUUGCUGCUUUAAACCAAACUGGCUUCAUAUCAACAGAACUUUCCCUGCCUCUGCCUAUGAGUGCUGCGACUAAAGGCAUGUGCUACUACUCCUGUUUUUUUGUUUUUCUUUCAAAUUUUUUUAUCUCUGUGUGGAUUUGUGCCCAGGAAGCCAGAAGAGGUUGCUGGACCCCCAGUGCUAGAAUCACUGGCAGGUGUGAGUCCUCCAAUAUGAAUCACUGGAACUGAACACAGGUCCUCUGGAAGGUGAGCCAGAGUGCCUCUCGUGUAGCCAUCUCACGGGCCCCAAAACUUAAAAUUUUAGUGAAAAAAACUGUGUACGAAAAAAAUGUAAUUUGGACUUAUAACAUGGAAAAUACCUUUCCUUUGAAGACAGAGUAAUUACAAAAAUGAUGAAUUACACGUUGAAUGUCAAUGAAUUCUCCAAAGUACGUAGAUGGAAUGCUUUUGGGGAGGGA